GAUGAACGCUGGCGGCGUGCCUAAUACAUGCAAGUCGAGCGAACGGACGAGAAGCUUGCUUCUCUGAUGUUAGCGGCGGACGGGUGAGUAACACGUGGAUAACCUACCUAUAAGACUGGGAUAACUUCGGGAAACCGGAGCUAAUACCGGAUAAUAUUUUGAACCGCAUGGUUCAAAAGGAAAAGACGGUCUUGCUGUCACUUAUAGAUGGAUCCGCGCUGCAUUAGCUAGUUGGUAAGGUAACGGCUUACCAAGGCAACGAUGCAUAGCCGACCUGAGAGGGUGAUCGGCCACACUGGAACUGAGACACGGUCCAGACUCCUACGGGAGGCAGCAGUAGGGAAUCUUCCGCAAUGGGCGAAAGCCUGACGGAGCAACGCCGCGUGAGUGAUGAAGGUCUUCGGAUCGUAAAACUCUGUUAUUAGGGAAGAACAUAUGUGUAAGUAACUGUGCACAUCUUGACGGUACCUAAUCAGAAAGCCACGGCUAACUACGUG
rnacentral:rRNA from 1 species